rnacentral:tRNA from 1 species
GGUAGCGUGGCCGAGUGGUCUAACGCGCUGGUUUUGGGCACCAGUCAUUUGAAUGACGCGGUUUCGGAUCCCACCGCUUCCA